CACUCUGCUAAAUCUACCUCAUUGUCGGUCCAUCUGUAUGAGAGUGCUGUCGCAAGUCUGGCAUUAAGUUGGUGAAUAGUUUAUUAUCAUUUUCACCUGUGAACGAGAUGUAUUGAAAAUAGGGAUCACAGAUUUUGGCAAGGUUCUUCAAACUUGAAAGGAUCUAGAACGAAGGAAAAUUAUGGCGUCACCUAUGGUUUACUAUUGUUAUGAGUGUGAAAAUGAGUUGUGCACAAAAUCACUAGCCUCAUUGCCACAUUGCACGUCUACAAUUGGCUGCUUUAAAUCUGCUGUUCAGAAAACCGGGGAAAUCGUAAAUUUUGCGCGCGGAUGCAUCACUAAAGCGCUGCAAAACCAAAAUAUCUGUACCAAUAUAACAGAUGCGAAUACCAUCAAUUAUGGUUAUGACUGCUGUAAUGGUCAUUUCUGUAACGACGGUCAUUUUGCUAAGCCAUUUGAGACUGAGACACCGUGUUGUAAUUCCUGGAUUUAUGUAGUACUCUUUUUCGUGUUAUUGUUUGCCUUCGGAACUCUUGGAACAAUGUUCUUUGCUGUAACGAAACUAAAACAGUAUGAACAACGAUUGCUUGAAGCAAGACACGAAUUCCAAUUGAAACUGGUAGAGAUGGAUGCAGACCAGCGUAUAAACGUCAGGUCCAGACCUUAAUGUUCCUGGAACACUCUGUCAACGAUAUUAUACUUUAGCUAAUUUUACAAAUAUCAAUUAACUCUAUUAUUAAUGACAAUAUAGUACGUUUGUCAACAGGAAACAACUCAAACUUAUUCGUAAUUAGUUUCGAAACGAUUCUUUGUAGGAAUAUUAAUUCGAUCGAAGUUUGGCAAGCAGUUCGGGAUCUGGUAAUCCCGUACUGAAGCAAGCUUUCUCGAUAUCAUUUGAUAUUUACUGACUUAUUGACAAUUGACAAUUGGAUAUCUACAGCUUGAGCUAUAUUCUAGGAGAUAUAUCUCAUGUGCAUUGAAGAUGUUGAUUUAAGAUAUGAUUUCGAGUGUCUACCUAUUGACGAUAACCGAGGAGAGAUCCUAAUUUAUUGCUGACAAUCGAGGACUCCGGAACUUUUUCGAUCAUUGGCAUAUCGAUCCGAUAAGGAGUUCAUUGGGAUCUCUAAUUCAAAUUCCUUGGCGAGUGAAAGUAUCAAAGCGUCGGCUGAUUCGACAAUUUAAUUGCACGCUUUCGACAUUUUUAAAAAACUAAUCGUUUACUUCAAUUUAAUUGUAAUUUCAUUGGAAAACAUUCCUACAAAAAUUAUUUUUAAUUUAUCUUUUUUAAUAUUUUUUCGAUAAAAUGGUGCCUUAGCACAUAGCUAAAGUUUGAAUUUUGUAUGACUAGAGUGUAUAUUCCAAUUUAUUAUUUCAAUCCUUGACAGUAUCUGCACAGAUAGAAUUAAAAACGUAAAAAAUGUGUAAGUUCAAAAAUUCUUUUUGAUGCAAAUGUAGAUAUAGCUUACAACUUUGAAUAAAGUUAUCGUAAAAAAUAA